AGAGUUUGAUCCUGGCUCAGGACGAGCGCUGGCGGCGUGCUUAACACAUGCAAGUCGAACGAUGAAGCCCUUCGGGGUGGAUUAGUGGCGAACGGGUGAGUAACACGUGGGCAAUCUGCCCUUCACUCUGGGACAAGCCCUGGAAACGGGGUCUAAUACCGGAUAACACUCCUGCCCGCAUGGGUGGGGGUUAAAAGCUCCGGCGGUGAAGGAUGAGCCCGCGGCCUAUCAGCUUGUUGGUGAGGUAGUGGCUCACCAAGGCGACGACGGGUAGCCGGCCUGAGAGGGCGACCGGCCACACUGGGACUGAGACACGGCCCAGACUCCUACGGGAGGCAGCAGUGGGGAAUAUUGCACAAUGGGCGAAAGCCUGAUGCAGCGACGCCGCGUGAGGGAUGACGGCCUUCGGGUUGUAAACCUCUUUCAGCAGGGAAGAAGCGAAAGUGACGGUACCUGCAGAAGGAGCGCCGGCUAACUACGUGCCAGCAGCCGCGGUAAUACGUAGGGCGCAAGCGUUGUCCGGAAUUAUUGGGCGUAAAGAGCUCGUAGGCGGCUUGUCACGUCGGGUGUGAAAGCCCGGGGCUUAACCCCGGGUCUGCAUUCGAUACGGGCUAGCUAGAGUGUGGUAGGGGAGAUCGGAAUUCCUGGUGUAGCGGUGAAAUGCGCAGAUAUCAGGAGGAACACCGGUGGCGAAGGCGGAUCUCUGGGCCAUUACUGACGCUGAGGAGCGAAAGCGUGGGGAGCGAACAGGAUUAGAUACCCUGGUAGUCCACGCCGUAAACGGUGGGAACUAGGUGUUGGCGACAUUCCACGUCGUCGGUGCCGCAGCUAACGCAUUAAGUUCCCCGCCUGGGGAGUACGGCCGCAAGGCUAAAACUCAAAGGAAUUGACGG
rnacentral:rRNA from 1 species